UGGAAGAGGCAAAAGCGGUCAAUUUUGUUCCGUGCCGUAGUGUGUUUUGUAAGUCGAGCAUAAGUUUGUUUAAGCUCAGUGUCGUUAAUCCUGUGAGAUUUAGUGUGCGUAGAUUCGAGUUUAUAAAGGUCCGUGGCAGCAUUAAAUUGGCGAAGCCGACACACUACACCAAUCCGAUAAGACCGUCUUUUGACCCCACGCAUCGGCUGCAAAGAUUCCCGGGGUACACUUGGCCGGAGAAGGUUGCGAACCGUCAAAAGCGCACCUUUGGCAGGCGAAGCCAAACCACCGAAACCACUCCAAUCAAUUUCAACGUUUUCCAACCGCAUAGCAGCAGAUCGCCGUUGUCGUCGUCGUCGUCAUCGUCAAGCAAGUGCCGACGGCGCCUCAACACUUUGCUUUGCGCGCCAGGACGGACGCUUGUACCGCGCCCAUGCGUAAGCCCGCGCACCGGAGGGAGUGAGUGACCACCACAUCGACGCAAUACG